rnacentral:rRNA from 1 species
UAGAGUUUGAUCAUGGCUCAGAUUGAACGCUGGCGGCAGGCCUAACACAUGCAAGUCGAGCGGAAACGAUGGAAGCUUGCUUCCAGGCGUCGAGCGGCGGACGGGUGAGUAACGCAUGGGAAUCUGCCCGAUAGUGGGGGAUAACCUGGGGAAACCCAGGCUAAUGCCGCAUACGUCCUACGGGAGAAAGCAGGGGAUCUUCGGACCUUGCGCUAUCGGAUGAGCCCAUGUCGGAUUAGCUUGUUGGUGAGGUAAUGGCUCACCAAGGCGACGAUCCGUAGCUGGUCUGAGAGGAUGAUCAGCCACAUCGGGACUGAGACACGGCCCGAACUCCUACGGGAGGCAGCAGU